rnacentral:lncRNA from 1 species
GUGGAGUCAUACUCGCCCAGCCUUGUUGAGAAGAAAAAUGUGGGGGAGCUUAUAAUGAACGUUGCUUCUACUAGCUCUGUUGCCGCUGCUGCUCCUGCUACUGGUAAAGAUGCCGCAGCAACAUCUGUUGCGGGUUAGAAAAAGGUACGAUUUGAUUUUGAUUUUGUAUAAUAUUGUGUUGAAACUCCAUUCGUUUCCCGUUGUUGUUUGUUAAAUUUAUGAUUUAUGUUUUUUAUGAAUUUUAAUUUCAGGAAGAGUGUGAUGAUGAGCCCAUGUUUAGCUUGUUUGAUUAGAGUUGCCUAAUGAAUUUCAGUUUUGAAUGAAUGUUUGAUGCAUAUUGUUCUAACUUAUUUCUAGUAUUUUUUUGUAUUUUCUAUUUAAAAGUAACAAAGUUGGAUAAAUACUCUAAAAAUGUCAAUGGUAAUCAUAUUGUCAAACACAUUCCUACUUCUAGUAUUAGUAUUACCAUCCGUAUAAAUUUAUUCUUCUUACUUCAAUUUACAAUCAACAACAUGAUUUGAAUCUAUCAUUUACUUCAAUUUGGUCCAAUGCUUUCUUCUUGAAUUUUUCUGCUGAGUUUCCUUUCUGAUCUAUAUGUUCUUGUAGAUUUCUUAGAUGCUCAGUCAUUUCCACAAAAGGGGAUUCUAGGUUACCAGCAUCUGGUUGGACCAUUUUGUCAUUUUUCUCCUGAAAUAAAGUAGAGCCAUCACCANNNN